rnacentral:rRNA from 1 species
UCGAGAAUAUUCCGCAAUGGGCGAAAGCCUGACGGAGCGACGCCGCGUGCAGGAAGAAGUGCUUCGGUAUGUAAACUGCUUUUAUGGGGGAAGAAAUUAUUGACGGUACCCCAGGAAUAAGAGGUUGCUAAACUCGUGCCAGCAGCAGCGGUAAUACGAGUGCCUCGAGCGUUAUCCGGAAUCAUUGGGCGUAAAGGGUGUGUAGGUGGUCUGAUUAGUCUCUUGUUAAAAAUCUCGGCUCAACCGAGGGGAUGCAAGGGAAACGGUCAAACUAGAGGAUGCGAGGGGUCUGUGGAACUCAUGGUGUAGCGGUGAAAUGCGUUGAUAUCAUGGGGAACACCAAAAGCGAAGGCAGCAGACUGGAGCAUUCCUGACACUGAAACACGAAAGCGUGGGUAGC